ensembl:miRNA
UAUGGCUUUCUAUUCCUAUGUGAUUUACUCUGCCAUGUCACAUAGGGUCUAAAGCCAUUGG